ensembl:lncRNA
UGUUAUUUUCCCCAUGGGACCUAUGCUUUGAAAUUUUUUUAAUCUAUCACAUAAUCUAUGUUCAUUAAAACUCUGUAGAUUGGGACUUCCUGGACGUCCAGUGGCUAAGAUGCCAUACUUUCAAUGCUGGGGCCUCAGAUCUGAUCACUGGUCAAGGAACUAAAUCCCACCUGUCAUAACUUAGUUCCCAAGCCGCAACUAAAGAUCCUGCAUGCCGCAACAAAGAUGGAAGAGCCCGAGUGCCUCAACUAAGACCUGAUGCAGCCAAAUAAAUACUUUUUUAAAAAUACUCUGUAAGUUGCAUACCCUCCCAAGUCCCUCCCUUCUUUGUUUUUUCAGCUAGCCAAAGUUAUAAUGGCCAUUUAAUCAGAGUGUAUGCUGCAUGCUGGACUUCCCAGGUGGCACUAGCGGUAAAGAACCUGCCUGCCAAUGCAGGAGAUAGAAGAGAUGUGGGUUCAAUCCCUGGGUCAGGAAGAUCCCCUGGAGUAGGAAAUGGCAACUUACUCCAGUAUAAUUUUUUUUUUUUUUUAAUACUCCAGUAUUCUUGCCUGGAGAAUCCCAUGGACAGAGGAGCCUGGUGAGCUACAGUCCAUGAAUUGCAAAAGAGUCAGACAUGACUAAGCACUCAUGCAAGAGGGAUAUGGAGGAUGCAGAAUGCUUUUUAUGGUGAUCAGGUGUGAGGGAGUGAGGGAACCAUCCCCCACAGAAGAGUAUUGCAGAAGCUGUAAGUGAAAGGGCUUUGAGGCAGGAACAGAAGUAAAGAGGCAAGAGCGGCUGAAGCCCCACAAGAAAGGGGCUGGUCAGUCAGGGAGGGUCUUGAAAUGAACAAGGCUUUUACUUUGAGUUAGGAAGCCUUUGGAGGUUGUUGGGCAUUAAAGUAACAUGGCUUAGAUUUUUGCAGAUCUGUUGGCUAUUGCAGUGAUCUGUGUGAGGGAUGCUGGGUGGUGGUAGUGAAGGCAGUCAGGGGUGAUCAAAUUCUGGAUCUAUGUUGAAGGCAGAGCCAACAGGACUUGCUGAUGUAAUUAAUGUGCAGUAUAAGAAAGGGGAGGUCUAGAAACUUCUAUGGUGUUCAGCUUGAGAAACUGGAGGGACAGAGUUGUCAUUUAUUGAGAAGGAGCACCCAGUAAGGUUUGGGUAGAAAUUGAACUGAUUUUGGAUAGGCUACAUAUGAAAUACUUAUUAAACUUUAGGUGGAAAUAGGAACAAGCCAUUUGAUAUAUGAGUUUAGGAGAGAGAUCCAGACUGGGAGAUGUCACAGUUUGGGAUGUGGUUAAAGGUAUGAAUAUAGGUCAGAUGAUAGAGUCGGAAAGCUGAGAUCUUUCUUUGGGGUAUCUGAAGCUGGAAAUCAGGAGAUAAAAAGGAAACUGCCAAGACUGAAUGAGAGCAG